rnacentral:snRNA from 1 species
AUACUUAGCUGGCAGAGGAGACACAAUCAGGAAGGUAGUUUCUCAGGAUAAGGCUCCUCCCUUGUAUUUGGGAGGGGCUGACCCCUGUUAUUUUCCUAGUUCAUGAAAUCAGCUGCCUGAGGUGUAAGAGUGGGAGACUGUUCACAUUAAAAAGGUGUGUGUGCGUGCGUGCUUGCUUCUG